rnacentral:rRNA from 1 species
AUUGAACGCUGGCGGAAUGCUUUACACAUGCAAGUCGAGCGGCAGCGCGGCCUUCGGGCUGGCGGCGAGCGGCGAACGGGUGAGUAAUGCAUCGGAACAUGCCCAGUCGUGGGGGAUAACACUUCGAAAGAAGUGCUAAUACCGCAUACGUCCUGAGGGGGAAAGCGGGGGAUCGCAAGACCUCGCGCGAUUGGAGUGGCCGAUGUCAGAUUAGCUAGUUGGUGGGGUAAAGGCCUACCAAGGCGACGAUCUGUAGCUGGUCUGAGAGGAUGAUCAGCCACACUGGGACUGAGACACGGCCCAGACUCCUACGGGAGGCAGCAGUGGGGAAUUUUGGACAAUGGGGGCAACCCUGAUCCAGCCAUUCCGCGUGAGUGAAGAAGGCCUUCGGGUUGUAAAGCUCUUUCGGCAGGAACGAAACGGUAGGCUCUAACAUAGUCCGCUAAUGACGGUACCUGAAGAAGAAGCACCGGCUAACUACGUG